CCUACGGGAGGCCGCAGUGGGGAAUAUUGGACAAUGGGGGGAACCCUGAUCCAGCCAUGCCGCGUGUGUGAAGAAGGCCCUCGGGUUGUAAAGCACUUUCAGUGAGGAAGAACGCCUGGUGGUUAAUACCCAUCAGGAAAGACAUCACUCACAGAAGAAGCACCGGCUAACUCCGUGCCAGCAGCCGCGGUAAUACGGAGGGUGCGAGCGUUAAUCGGAAUUACUGGGCGUAAAGCGCGCGUAGGUGGCUUGAUAAGCCGGUUGUGAAAGCCCCGGGCUCAACCUGGGAACGGCAUCCGGAACUGUCAAGCUAGAGUGCAGGAGAGGAAGGUAGAAUUCCCGGUGUAGCGGUGAAAUGCGUAGAGAUCGGGAGGAAUACCAGUGGCGAAGGCGGCCUUCUGGACUGACACUGACACUGAGGUGCGAAAGCGUGGGUAGCAAACAGGAUUAGAUACCCGAGUAGUC
rnacentral:rRNA from 1 species